UAUCUAGUCAUAUUUGACUCCAAAACUCUAACCAAUAUUCUUCUUGCUUCUCAAAUCUUUGAUGGUGUAUCCGAAAUCCGUAUGAGUCUUUGGCUUUGUAUCUUCUAACAAGGAAACACUACUUAGCUUUUAAGAUCUGGUUGCGGUUCUAGUUCCGAUACUCAAUCAUACACAUGAUAUCAAGUCAUAUUCAACUCCAAAACACUAACCAAGCUUCUUCUUGCUUCUCAAAGCUUUGAUGGUGUAGCCAAAGUCCGUAUGAGUCUUUGGCUUUGUAUCUUCUAACAAGGUAACACUACUUAGGCUUUUAAGAUCAGGUUGCAGUUUAAGUUCUUAUACUCAAUCAUACACAUGACAUCAUGACAUCAAGUCAUAUUCGACUCCAAAACACUAACCAAGCCUCUUCUUGCUUCUCAAAGCUUUGAUGGUGAAGCCAAAGUUCGUAUAAAUAUUUGGCUUUGUAUCUUCGAACAAGGAAACACUCUUUAGGCUAUUAAGAUCAGUUGCGGUUCUAGUUCUUAUACUCAAUCAUACACAUGACAUCUAGUCAUAUUUGACUCCAAAUCACUAACCAAGCUUCUUCUUGCUUCUCAAAGCUUUGAUGGUGUAGCCGAAAUCCGUAUGAGUCUUUGGCUUUGUAUCUUCUAACAAGAAAACACUACUUAGGCUUUCAAGAUCCGGUUGUGGUUCUAGUUCUUAUACUCAAUCAUACACAUGACAUCUAGUCAUAUUUGACUCCAAAUCACUAACCAAGCUUCUUCUUGCUUCUCGAGGCUUUGAUGGUGAAGCUGAAGUCCGUAUGAGUCUUUGCCUUUGUAUCUUUGAUGUAGGUCAAAUUGCCUUAAGCCCACUCUUUCAAAUAAGAGAACGAUUGUAGCACUGAAGGGUCGAAUUCCACAAAGCUCUCGGAUCACACAAUAGACCAAGGUUUUGAAUCUACAUAUACAUUUUUGGUAGGGUUUUUGGCCAAAAAUCUUUCACCUAUUUACUAUUUGCAAUAUGAGUCCUUACAAAUUUAAUCUCAAUCAAAUACUUUAUAACUAAAAACUUACAAUUAG
rnacentral:sRNA from 1 species